rnacentral:rRNA from 1 species
CAGUCGCCGCGGGAAUACGUAGGGUGCGAGCGUUAAUCGGAAUUACUGGGCGUAAAGCGUGCGCAGGCGGUUGUGUAAGACAGGUGUGAAAUCCCCGGGCUUAACCUGGGAACUGCGCUUGUGACUGCAUAGCUAGAGUAUGGCAGAGGGGGGUGGAAUUCCACGUGUAGCAGUGAAAUGCGUAGAGAUGUGGAGGAACACCGAUGGCGAAGGCAGCCCCCUGGGCCAAUACUGACGCUCAUGCACGAAAGCGUGGGGAGCAAACAGGAUUAGAUACCCGCGUAGUCCCUGUCUCUUAUAC